GCGGGUGUAGCUCAGUCGGUUGGAGCGCCAGUUUGUGGCACUGGAGGUCGUGGGUUUAAUCCCCAUCACUCGCCCCA
rnacentral:tRNA from 2 species